UGCUUCCACCUCUGUCUCGCCUUCAACAACGGGACCAAACCGAGAUCCCAUCUCCGCUGGCCGGCGACGGUAAAUAACCCUAACCCCCUUCGAUCACUCCGAAAACCCUACUUCGAUCUUUAAUAUCAGAUAUUUUCCUUUGGUUUCGGCUUGCAAGUAAACCCUGUUCUCGGAUUCCGAAGAGGGGGUCCACGGCCGAUGCUCCUCUUACGUCCUCUGACGCCUCCGAGGCGAUCGCAUUCGGUUGGCAUCGCGGAAUCCUACGAUUACUAGAACAGCGACAGGGAGAUGAAGAGAAAGGGGUUCCGAACUUCUGCCCAGCUGGAACAGAAGCCGGAUCACGCGAAAAGCUCUCGACCUGGGCCUGCGGUGAUGUCCGGAUCUUCUCGGAAAUGCUUCUCCCUUCUUCACAAACAACCAUGUGAUUUCAUCGUCGCCACUGAUGAACCCGUCUAAAGACUGGAACCGGGCAUGAAUGUGACUGGAAAUUGGUGCUGCACUCCGUCUGGCUGCAGUUUCUGUUGAUCUGGCAACUCAUACAGCGGUUUCUGUCGGAUCAUUCUAAUUUAUUUCUGUUAUCACCCCCACUCUGGUUAUAUUAGAGCUUCAUUGAGAGAGAUCAUUGUGCCGUGGAAUCAUCACUUGAUUCACUUCUAAAGCAGUGUUAUACUCCAGUAAGAAAAACAUGUCACAUUUUUGUUGCUCUCAUUCCAGUAACUAAUGUUAUACUCUGGAUCAGAGUUGGAAUUAUAAAAAUUGAUCUUAUUUGCAUGUGAUCAA